CCGCGAGGCUGGACAGCUCCCGGAACCCCGGAACCGGGAUCUAUUUCGGGGGCUCGGCUGCGUGGCGCCCAGGACUCUCCAGGGUCUCCCAGGAUCGCUCCCCGAAUUCGAGUCGCCCCCUCUCUCUUUCGGGAAUACCAGCUGAUGUCAGUCCGCCAGCCAAAACCAGGGAGGAGAAGCGGGAGCCAGCCCUCUGGAGUCGGGAGAAGGUCUGGGGAGUGGGGUAGAGGGGAAAGCAAAGUCCAAAUACCUUCCCUUCAGACACCUCCUGGGGCCUAGACCCCACAAACCUGUUGUGGGGAGGGCAAAAUACGAUGACUACGUUCCCAGGAAGAAGGUGCCACAGCUCUUCAGGACCACGGUUGGGAGAAAGAAUGGAGGGGUUUUAGAACCUUCAGUGUGCGACUUCAUGUGCCAGUCUUCAUCUCAGGAUCUCAAGCUCUUGGAUCAUGGGCACGGAUAACCUGUUGUCCUCCUCUAUGGUCAAGAGGCUGCUUUUGCAAAGAAUCCAGUGGGAGAGAGUCAAUGGCCUGCUUGACGUGAACUCCAAAGUCCUCCUGGAACAGGGGCUCACUCUGUUGCCCACAUUGGAGUGCGGUGGAAGAAUCAUGGCAUGCUGCAGUCUUGAGCUUCUAGGCUCAAGAGAUCCUCCUGGUUCAGUCUCCCAAGUAGCUAGGACAGCAGGCAUAUUUUUUGUAGAUAUGGGGGUCUUGCUUUUUUGCCGAGGCUGGUCUCGAACUCCUGGCUUCAAGCAAUCUUCCUGCAUCAGUCUCUUAAAGUGUUGGGAUUCCAGGCAUGAACCACUGCACCUGGCCCUUGGGAAGUUUUAUUUUUAGCCUAGGGUUGGGGUUAAGUUUGCAUCAUGAUGUUGAGACCUCCAAAGGAGAACUUAUUGUAGUCAUUCCUGAGCUCAGGUGUCCAAACUGUCUAAUUGGAGAAUCUGGGAAUUUUCUCUCGUUUUGAUUUUCCUCUUCCACUUUUCCAUGCCAGUUGGAUGUUUGAAUGUUUUUAUCGACCUCUGAGAGCAUCCGGGUAACUGAGGGUUUACUUUGGGGGUCUUUGGAGAUGAAUAGGGACAGGAGACCUCACCUUUCUUUUCCAUGUAGCCAUAGGAGAUAGUCCCACGAUCUGAUGAUCUGUAGCAAUGGGUAGAGGAAGGGCCGUAUUAGGAACAGAAGCUAGUUUCGUCAUGGGAAGUCCCCUGUUUUCCACUCCUGAGGGCCCUCACAUUCCCUUUCUAAGCCCCUUUCUGCUUUUGCUAUUAAAAAAUACAGUUUUUAAAUUGCAA
rnacentral:lncRNA from 1 species